rnacentral:lncRNA from 1 species
UCUCCGCCGGGUGUGCGAGGCUGCUGAGGCGGGGUGCGCGAGAGGCCCAGCCCCCUGGCCGUCUUUCUGAGGUUCCAGGCCAGGUUUGAAGCGCAGUAAAACUGGCGAGUACCUUACCCCCCCAAACAGGUGGCCCCUCAAAAGGAUGGGGCUAGUGAGCUAGAGUUUGAAAAGGGAGCGGAGUCGCUUCAACGCCCUGCCCCCGCCCUGUGCCGCCCGACCUCGAGUGUGGGCCCGGGACGGGGUAGGGGUGGGCGGAGAGUCGAAGUGACUUCCUAGACAAGCGAGGUGCACGGCCUGUAGGAUUUCAUUUAAUCCUCGCGGUCGGGAGAGUGGGUCCCCCUUACGGGUGAGUGACCUGCAGCCCUGAGGGUGGCUAAGUGUCCCGUGGAGCGAGCCAGGGCAGAGACCGGGUUUGGGGGUGCCGCAGAGCUCCUAGUCAGCACCCACCCUACACCAGAGCAGUCCAGGGCUUCCUCCUCCGCCCCGUCCACCUGGAGGGAUCUCUCCCUCAUCAUCCAGAGUCUGGGGUUCCGCACGUAUAGGCUGGUGCAAGGUGCAUUGAGAAACGCUUAACCCGCCCAGGAGUCCUUUAGGGCCUCCAGUGAAAAAAGUAAUAGUAUUUUUCUGCCUCAGGGAGAAGGUUCGGAAUAAACUACAGGUGGAGGAACUUAAAGACAAUCAGUGUCUAGAGCGGGGUACGAGUAAGACUAUAUCGAGAGUGAAAGACUGAGGAGAGAGGACAAAGCUAGCAGUGACCAAGGUUAAACUGGCCCACUUACCUCGGAGCUUCGGAAUCUACCCACCAAUUCUGGUAGGUGUCAGAUGGAAACUACUCAUCUGUCUGGAUUCUGACCCUGAUUUGCAGGAGAGUUGCUCCUUUGCAGGUCAGUUUCACUGGCCGUAAAACGACAUUGAUACUUGCUACUUCCCCAUCUGAUAAAGAGAUUCUUUGAGGGGGUUAAAUUUUGACCUCUCAGAGUUGGUUAGGUAUAAUUAGGAACCAUAAACCUGAGGAAGGAAGAGUAUAACUACAGAGGAAGCAGAUUCCUGUAAGGCUGCAAUUUUGUUUGUUAAUCAUCAGCAUUUAUUAUUUCUUCUCUGGAGUGGAGAUAGCGAGAGUAUCAUCUUUCAGCUGAAGAACAUUAGAGCAUGUAGAAGGUAAGAUACACAACUUAACUAUACCAAUAAACCUAUACAAUAAAAUAACAUUAUCAGAAUUGUAGUUUCUGAUCUCCAACCUUUGAUAUUAAGAUUUGAAAAUGCUUUAUAAGUGGCAAAGGACUAGUAUAGUAGAUGCUAUUAAUAGCACGAAUAAAGAAAAUGCAAUAAUUGCCAAAAUUUAUGAUGCUGAAUAUUAUUUCAUUUUGCUGUUCCCUUACAUUAUUCCUAGGCUACCGAUUUAGGAAGAGAUUAAAAGGAACCUUCAGGGAAAUGGAUAUCUCAUAAGUCAGGCUGGAAUUGUUUAUCAAGUCAAAAUAGAAGAAAAUAAUAGGCAGAUAUGUUGUUGAUUCUGAAAAGAGUGAUUUACUGUUUGAACUAUCCGUGAUGAAUCAUUUAAUGUAAAAAUAACAUAAAAUGCCCACAAUCUAGUAUAUUUUUACAUGGAAAGAAUCUUAAAAAUAGUUUUAGAUACUUUUAGUAGCCCAUAAUUUAGCAGAUAUACCUGAAAACCUAUUGCAUUUCACUAAGAUCGAAAAAUAAUUGUGGUAAUACAGUCACACCUUAGAGAAGGAAAAAAAGAAGCAUUGCUUGUUUUUGUUGCUUGCUGGUAAUUGGGUUAUAUGAAACCCACCUUCUAUUCAAUACACUCUAACCCUCCUGGAUGCGCUCUAACUCUCCACUGCCCAGCUCAGAUACUCAGAUUUGGGGUAACUCAACUCAAGAGUGCCUCACUCCACGGCUGAAGCUCUCUACCAACCUAUGAAAAUACUUCGAAUUACUUGAAACAACUCACUUAACUUUUUCCAUUAUUCUCCAAAGGAGGGAGACAUGUGGAUACCCAAAGUGUUGAGAUUGAGACAAAGGAAAGCUAGUGUGGACUUCUCUUCCUCCUCCCUAUUCCUGGAGUCAAGUGACUAUGAUUAAAAUAAACAACUUAGAUUUAUGCGGAAAGAUCUGCGAGAUGCACUACUAAAGAAAAAAUCAAAGUGCUGAACAAAGAUGCUGCUCAUUUGUGAGGAAAAAAAAAAAAACAACCUGUCUGUAAAUGAGUGAACUAUCUGCAAAGAAAGCUCAAAACAGAAUGAUUAAUCUGAGAAAAAGAAUUUGGAGGGAGAAGGCCUCCAAAUAUGUGGGGAGGUAUUUUUCACUGUGUGCUUUUUCAUACUAUUUUGUCUCAUUUGCAUGCAUCAUGGUUACACACACACAAAAAAAAAAC